GGGAGCGUAGCUCAGAGGUAGAGCCCUUGCCUGGCGCGUGGGAGGCACUGGGUUCGAUUCUCAGCGCCG
rnacentral:tRNA from 1 species